rnacentral:lncRNA from 1 species
UGUUUUUUUUAGUCUGAUGAUUUUAUUUUGUGGAGGCAGGGGGCAGACUUCUUUCAUUAGAAUAUUUCAUGUUCUACCAGUCCGUAACUAUGAAAACCACCAUUUUGAAUUCUGUUUUUUGGGGUAGGUAAUUUCUCACAAAAUAAACAUGAAAGUCACUUUUUGAGCCUCAAAAUGUUCUAUUUUUGUCAACGUAAAAAUCAUUCUGAAGCAAACAAAAGGUAAAAAUACGUCUAGAGAUUGAAAUUGUUAGUUCACAUAUGACGUUGUUUAGUGCUAAAGCAACAGUUUCGCGGACUUUUUCAUUGAUGUCAUUUUACCACAAAAUAUUUGUUAAAUGAUAUUUAUC